GACCGACAGUGUGAGGAAUACAAUACCGCAAGGGAAUAACUCCGCUGUUCAUACUACAGUUUUGAGCUGUCGGUCGCCCUAAU
rnacentral:ncRNA from 1 species